rnacentral:misc_RNA from 1 species
GAUGAAGAACGUAGCGAAAUGCGAUAAGUAAUGUGAAUUGCAGAAUUCAGGGAAUCAUCGAAUCUUUGAACGCACAUUGCGCCCGCCAGUAUUCUGGCGGGCAUGCCUGUUCGAGCGUCAUUUCAACCAUCAAGCCCUGCUUGCGUUGGGGUCCUGCGGCUGCCCGCAGGCCCUGAAAACCAGUGGCGGGCUCGCUAGUCACACCGAGCGCAGUAAUACAUCUCGCUUUGGGCGUGCGGCGGGUUCUUGCCGUUAAACACCCCCUUUUUACCAAGGUUGACCUCGGAUCAGGUAGGAAUACCCGCUGAACUUAAGCAUAUCAAUAAGCGGAGGA